GGCCCAGAGAGGUGGGUGACUACCACUCAGGGCCGGAAAGCUGUCCAAACUCGGUCAUUUAGAGGAAGUAAAAGUCGUAACAAGGUC
rnacentral:rRNA from 1 species